GUGCCAGCAGCCGCGGUAAUACGUAUGGGGCAAGCGUUAUCCGGAUUCAUUGGGCGUAAAGCGCGCGUAGGCGGCUUGUUAAGCGAGGAGUGAAAUCUGGGGGCUCAACCCGCAGCUUGCUUCUCGAACUGGCAGGCUUGAGUCUGGUAGAGGAAAGUGGAAUUCCUGGUGUAGCGGUGAAAUGCGCAGAUAUCAGGAGGAACACCAGUGGCGAAGGCGGCUUUCUGGGCCACGACUGACGCUGAGGCGC
rnacentral:rRNA from 1 species